rnacentral:ncRNA from 1 species
GUGAAAACGCCCUUACCUCCCCGCCCCGGAAUAAGGAGCUGGUAUCAGGCACAAUAAUUUGCCCAAAACACCUAGCCACGCCACCCCCACAAGGGUCCUCAGCAGUGAUAAACAUUGAAUAUAAUUGCCAACUUGAUUCAGUUAAAGUAAACAGAGCCGGCAAAUCUGGUGCCAGCCGCCGCGGGUACACCACAUGACUCAAAUUGAUCUAAACGGCGUAAAGCGUGAUUAAAGACCUCCCCCCCCCCCCCAUUAGAGUUAAACCUAAAUUCUCCUGUGAUAAGCUUAUUUACUUUAAACCCAAACAACGAAAGUUACUCUAAAUUACCCAACUUGAACUCACGAAAACUUGGAUACAAACUGAGAUUAGAUACCCCACUAUGCCAAGUCGUAAACUUUUACCUACCCAUCCCCCGCCAGGAAACUACGAGCUAAGCUUAAAACCCAAAGGACUUGACGGUACCCCACAUCCCCCUAGAGGAGCCUGUCUUAUAAUCGAUGCCCCCCGCUAAACCUCACCAUUCUUAGCCUUUCAGCCUGUAUACUUCCGUCGUCAGCCAACCACAUGAGUGAAACUUAGUGAGCCUAAUGACCACCCGCCAAAACGUCAGGUCAAUGUGCAGCAAACAGAAUGGGAACAGAUGGGCUACACUUUCUAAUUUAGAAAAUACGGAAGACUAAUGUGAAACCUAAGUCAAAAGGUGGAUUUAGAAGUAAAAAGAAAUUAGAGCAUUCUUUUUAAUCUGGUACUGGGGUGUGUACACACCGCCCGUCACCCUCUUCGAAGCACUACAUAAUAGUAACUAACCCCAGCCUGCAACCUAGAAGAGGUAAGUCGUAACAUGGUAAGUGUACCGGAAGGUGCACUUGGAAA